GGGAGGGGGAGAUGGAAUUAGUGGUGUAGGGGUAAAAUCCGUAGAUAUCACUAGGAAUACCGAAAGCGAAGGCGAUCUCCUGGAACAUAACUGACGCUAAGGCGUGAAAGCGUGGGGAGCAAACAGGAUUAGAUACCCUGGUAGUCCACGCCCUAAACGAUGAACACUAGUCGUCGGGAUGCUAGUCAUCUCGGUGAUGCACUUAACAGAUUAAGUGUUCCGCCUGGGGAGUACGGUCGCAAGAUUAAAACUCAAAGGAAUAGACGGGGACCCGCACAAGUGGUGGAGCAUGUGGUUUAAUUCGAAGAUACGCGAAGAACCUUACCUAGCCUUGACAUUGAUUGAACACACUAGAGAUAGAGUGGUGCCCUUCGGGGAACAUGAAAACAGGUGCUGCACGGCUGUCGUCAGCUCGUGUCGUGAGAUGUUGGGUUAAGUCCCGCAACGAGCGCAACCCUCGUCCUUAGUUGCUAGCAGUUCGGCUGAGCACUCUAAGGAGACUGCCUUCGUAAGGAGGAGGAAGGUGAGGACGACGUCAAGUCAUCAUGGCCCUUAUGGCUAGGGCUACACACGUGCUACAAUGGGGCGUACAGAGUGUUGCGAUACCGCGAGGUGGAGCUAAUCACUUAAAGCGUCUCUCAGUUCGGAUUGGAGUCUGCAACUCGACUCCAUGAAGCUGGAAUCACUAGUAAUCGUAGAUCAGCAAUGCUACGGUGAAUACGU
rnacentral:rRNA from 1 species